GACGAACGCUGGCGGCGUGCUUAACACAUGCAAGUCGAACGGAAAGGCCCUGCUUUUGUGGGGUGCUCGAGUGGCGAACGGGUGAGUAACACGUGAGUAACCUGCCCUUGACUUUGGGAUAACUUCAGGAAACUGGGGCUAAUACCGGAUAGGAGCUCCUGCUGCAUGGUGGGGGUUGGAAAGUUUCGGCGGUUGGGGAUGGACUCGCGGCUUAUCAGCUUGUUGGUGGGGUAGUGGCUUACCAAGGCUUUGACGGGUAGCCGGCCUGAGAGGGUGACCGGCCACAUUGGGACUGAGAUACGGCCCAGACUCCUACGGGAGGCAGCAGUGGGGAAUAUUGCACAAGGGGCGGAAGCCUGAUGCAGCAACGCCGCGUGCGGGAUGACGGCCUUCGGGUUGUAAACCGCUUUCGCCUGUGACGAAGCGUGAGUGAAGGUAAUGGGGAAGAAGCACCGGCUAACUACGUG
rnacentral:rRNA from 1 species